ACCCCAGGUCAGGCGGGACUACCCGCUGAGUUUAAGCAUAUCAAAAAGCGGGAGGAAA
rnacentral:rRNA from 1 species